GGUGGAUAAACCGGAGGAAAGGUGGGGAUGACGUCAAAUCAUCAUGCCCCUUAUGGCCUGGGCUACAAACGUAAUACAAUGGCGUAUACAAAGGGAUGCGAAAGGGCGACCUGGAGCAAAACUCACAAAGUACGUCUCAGUUCAGAUUGGAGUCUGCAACUCGACUCCAUGAAGGCGGAAUCGCUAGUAAUCGCGGAUCAGCAUGCCGCGGUGAAUACGUUCUCGGGGUUU
rnacentral:rRNA from 1 species